AAAACAUUCCUCUUUUCUUCUCAUUCUGGCCGAGCUGCAGCUGAGGCAAAACAUCUUCAAAUUUCACAAACUUCACCUCAAAAAUCUUGCUCAAACCUCCAUAGAUUCACACCAAAUUUCACAUACACUUAGCUCUACACUUGGACAACACUUUGAGCUGUAAAAGGGAGGAGCUUUCACGGUUUUCUUCAGGCUUCAAAGGGACCGAAAAUUCUGUUUAGAUAAACCAUCAAAGUAGGUAAUGAUCUAAUACCUUAAACUUGUCCUAUGGAAGUUAAAUUACACUUAUGAGCUUGAAUUUGCAUAUAGAUUGUGGUUGUUGUUGGAGAAAUUGGAAAAGUGGACUCUAUGAAUUCCCACUCUUGGGUUGCUGCUGAUUUUGUUCUUAAUGAUGUUUAUAAUGUGGAAUUAGUGUUUAAAUCAGUGGUUUGUUGAUGGAAAAGUGAUAGAAACUCACGUUAGGUGCAAAAGGCCAAAUCUGACCAUUUUACCCCUGCUCUGUUCGGUCACUUUAAUGCCGAAAUUUGAGGAUUUAAUGGCUUGAUUGUGUUGUUUAUAUGUUGUAGUAGUUGUGUAAAAAUUUUCAUUGAAAAAUACUGAGUUUUGGUUGGUCAAACGAAUUUAUUCCCAAAGCUAGUAAUCUGGAAAACGGUUUCGUCGUAAUCCAGACCAGUGUUCGUAUUUCAUCCAUAACUCCGUACUCCGACGUCGAAAUCAAGUUCCGUUAGCUGCAUUUGAAACUAGACGUUCCAAUCUUUCCAACGGUGUAUAAUGAACGUUCUGGUUCUAUGUGUGUGAACCGGACCACUCAUCUGAAUUCAGCUGCCCUGUUUCGCCAUUCUGCCGAAAUGAUUUGAUGAUACUGCAACUUUAGGCUUAAUUUCAAGCUAGUUGCAUGCUGAAACUUAGAACGAUUUCUUCUGUGAAAUUAUAGUCCUAUGCAUGUAUUUUCUAACACUAUCAACCAUGCUCAAAUCCGAGUUAAAUUGAGUGAGUUAUGAUCAAAAUACGGUGACUGUUUUGUUCUUGAAAGCCUUGGAUUUGGACAGAUUUGACGUGACAUUUGUGGUGGUCUUACUAAAUGAAUUUCUUGAUACUAAACACCUACCAAAUGUACCAUGAAUGUUUCUUAAACUUUCCUUUCACAUAUGAACCAUGAUUGGAGGAUUUUCUUAGCCAAACGAUUGGAUUUGGGAAGAAAAGGAUUAAGGGCAUAUUGCCUUGAGAAUUUUUCCAAACUUUGGUUGAUUGGUUAACCACCUUUCCGAAGGUAUUUUUCCACGAAAUUUGAUAGAGAAAUACCCUUCAUAUAGGAGUACCAUACUACAAAAUUUGGUAUCAAUUCAAGUCCGUUUCGACACUUAACAAAAGGUCCAAAUUCGGAACCAAAUCUGGAAAUUUUGUAACAGUCUUGAAUUUUUCCCAACUUUGAGCUAUCAUAUCUUGGUUCUCGAAACUCCGAUUCUUGAUCCGUUUGUUCUGCCCUAAACCUUACUUGCACCUCUAAUUGAUCUAUAAAUUUCAAGGGCUGGUUUGCAACGAGUGAAUUCUGCCAAAUUUCCAAAGUUAGCGAAAAACCAACCCCGGCUCAAUCCUGGGUGAUCUGGGACAGCAACUUUAAACUCAUUUUUGAAUACCUUCCAUUUAGAUUCGUGGAAUAGUGUCUUGUAAGAACUUUUAGUAAUUUUCAAGAGGUUUCCAACGGUAUAAAGUUUUCCAAUUUUAGACUUGUAUCGAGUGAGAUACGAUUUUUCAAAGAUCCAUAUCAAAACUGAAAUUUUCCAACUUUCAAGGAAAUAGAGAUUUCCAAGAACUUUUUAUUCUUUCGACAUUAUGCAAACAUUUUAACCUCGAUUUCCAAGAUAAAAAUCCAAAUGCUCCUGUACUUGAAGAAACUCUAAUUGAACCUCGAUUUACGAGUAAUUGAGGUUCGAUUUCGUGGAAUUUCCUUAGAUUGUACUAGUGUACAAUCUUCCUUCAUAAUUGGGAUAUAUGAAUGAUAAUACGUUAUUAUUUGCCCAGGCGCACACGAGAACCUUCAAGAGGAUUCUACCGUGCACACUUGAACUUCCAGAAAAUAUUUCUUCUUGAUUUGCUCGGUGAGUGUCAAGUGUAUGACUACUUGAACUCUAUGGACUUGAUUCAUGCUUGGCUUACCUGAUUACAUGCUUAGCCUACUUGGUUUUGAAAAAUGGAGUCGAGUGUGUACUUUCUCGCACUCGUUCUCAUUUGAAACAAAUGACUCAUGCUUAACAUGGUUUGCCUGAUUUACAUGACCUGAAAUACAUGCUUAGACCUGUCAAAUGCUUGAAUACAUGAUAUGGUAUGCUAUGGCUGCAUACGUCGUUGGAGUGAAUCUCCUCGACACUUACAUGACACAUGGGGGACGCCCAAACUCAUAGGCCGACCUUGGAACUCGAGCCGGCAUUGGCUUGGUCGGGAACCUCGGUGAGCCAUGAGAUUCAUAUGAUAAGCUUGAUCUAUUGGAGAGAUCUUGCUUGGCAUACUCGUGGAGUAUCGCCUCAUAAAUGUCGUGCGAGUCCGAAGCGGUGUAUGGUGGAUGGAUGAGAAGUAAGUGGUGAACUACGGAUAUGAAAUAUCAACCCGGUUGACGGAGAGUCAUCGCGGGAAGAUAUAGGAAUGACAUCGGCAAAAUGUGGAACUUAGCUCCUGAGAACUACCAUAUCCUUGAAUUGUUUCUGGUUACAUUUUUGUUGGCGUUAUUAAUUACUUGCAAGCUAUUAUUUGAAUUGUUAUUUGGGUUUGUUACCUGAACUGUGUGCCUGCAUGUGUGUUCUUGGCCUCACGAGCGUUUUUGCUCACCCUAUAGAUUUGUUUUUCUUAACAGGUUUGAACCCGGAGGCGUACUGGAGAAACCCUCCUGAUGAGCUUUUGUUUAGGAUUUCUAUUAUAUUUUGG
rnacentral:lncRNA from 1 species